AUUGUUUAUUUUUCUAUAUGGACGAACAGCAAAAGCUCUUAAGUUUCAAAUGUAGCCAACAGAUUUCCACAGGCCAUUGGGGAUGGAAAUAUCACGGAACUGUUGGAUCAGUUCUCAUAGUAUUAGCUGUCUUCUGAUGAACUACCCAGUUUUGACCAGGCAAUAGCAACAUAUAUUGUAUAGUUUGUUGGGAGCAAUGUCAGAGAUCAUAGAUGACAUUAUAGAUGGCAAAAAACAUUAUGACACUCUUUUAAAGCUUCAUGAAGCUAUUUUAGUUCAGCCAAAUAUCAAUUCUGACUGUGAGAGAUCAUUUUCAAUUAUAAAGAAAUUUACACUGAAUUCUGAUCAGAACUCAACAAUGAUAUAUUGUGUGCCUUGUUAUCAAGUACAACAUGUAAAUGUAACAAAACCAGCAGGUGUUUUGACUAUGUGCCUAGUGGUGUUGCUUUAAAAGCAGCAAAACAGACCACUGUUGAAUACAAUAAAAGUUUACAGUUGAA